AACGAACGCUGGCGGCAGGCUUAACACAUGCAAGUCGAACGCCCCGCAAGGGGAGUGGCAGACGGGUGAGUAACGCGUGGGAACAUACCCUUUCCUGCGGAAUAGCUCUGGGAAACUGGAAUUAAUACCGCAUACGCCCUACGGGGGAAAGAUUUAUGGGGGAAGGAUUGGCCCGCGUUGGAUUAGCAAGUUGGUGGGGUAAAGGCCUACCAAGGCGACGAUCCAUAGCUGGUAUGAGAGGAUGAUCAGCCACAUUGGGACUGAGACACGGUCCAGACUCCUACGGGAGGCAGCAGUGAGGAAUAUUGGACAAUGGGCGCAAGCCUGAUCCAGCCAUGCCGCGUGGGUGAUGAAGGCCUUAGGGUUGUAAACCUCUUUCACCGGUGAAGAUAAUGACGGUAGUCGGAGAAGAAGCCCCGGCUAACUUCGUGCCAGCCGCCGCCGUAAUAC
rnacentral:rRNA from 1 species